rnacentral:rRNA from 1 species
UUUUAUUUGAGAGUUUGAUCCUGGCUCAGGAUGAACGCUGGCGGCGUGCCUAACACAUGCAAGUUGAGCGAUUUACUUCGGUAAAGAGCGGCGGACGGGUGAGUAACGCGUGGGUAACCUACCCUGUACACACGGAUAACAUACCGAAAGGUAUGCUAAUACGGGAUAAUAUAUUUGAGAGGCAUCUCUUGAAUAUCAAAGGUGAGCCAGUACAGGAUGGACCCGCGUCUGAUUAGCUAGUUGGUAAGGUAACGGCUUACCAAGGCGACGAUCAGUAGCCGACCUGAGAGGGUGAUCGGCCACAUUGGAACUGAGACACGGUCCAAACUCCUACGGGAGGCAGCAGUGGGGAAUAUUGCACAAUGGGCGAAAGCCUGAUGCAGCAACGCCGCGUGAGUGAUGAAGGCCUUCGGGUCGUAAAACUCUGUCCUCAAGGAAGAUAAUGACGGUACUUGAGGAGGAAGCCCCGGCUAACUACGUGCCAGCAGCCGCGGUAAUACG